UCUCUUCCUUCUCGUUUUCUUCUCUAAACCACCGAGAUCUCUCGAAACCGAACUGGAUUUCUGAAAAUCAAAUGCCAUCUUUUAGAAAUCUAAUCCAAUUUGUGAUAUCAGUCAAUCUGAUUUUUGAGAUGGGUUUUGAUAAGAUUGAGUUUCAUCUAUUCAAUUUUUUUAUUUUUUGAUGUGAGUUUUCAUUGAAUCUGAUAUGUGAGGUCUCUUUAACUAAUCUCACAAAUCAAAACCCAUCUUUCUGAAAUCAGACUCAAUUUUUGGUAAACCAAAUUUUGUUUCAAACCUUAGGUAUGUGAUCUUCUUGUUUAUAAACCCUAGCAAACGAUUCUCUAUAGUUUUAUGAAUUUCAGUUGAGUUUUUUUUUUCUUAUGGGAAUUUCAGAUGAGUUUAGUUACUGUAAAUUUGACAUAUGGUUGUAUUGAUUCUAUAGAUUUUAUUUUUGUUUAGUUUUUAUUUUGGAAUUCUUAAGUAGACAGAAUCAUUUUAGGUUAAUCAUUUGGGUGUUUCUUUGGUUUAAGUUACUCCGUAUCUUCAGAUCUUGUUGUUUCGAUUUUCUAGGGUUUAAUUGUCGUUGUAUGUAUAGCUUAAUUUUUGCUUCAACGAUUUAUUUUUCCUUUAUAUCUUCAAAUCUGGUUCCUUUUCGUCUUUUUUGUUGUUGUUCAUCUCUUGAAUCGUAUCCCUUUUAACGGAUGUCUGCAAUCAAUUCUUGGUUCUACUAUGCUUGGGAUCAUUGGGGUUAAUCAAUUUUUUUUCUUAUUGGGUUCUUAUGUUAUUGAUUCAUGAGUUCUUAUGUGUGUCUGUUUGUGUUUCGCUUUCUGGUGAACCACUUUUCUUCUUUAAUCAUGAAAUCCUACUAGUUGUGCAGCAAAUGUGGAUUAUGCGAACUUAUUACUUCUAUCAUGUGAAAAGUGCUGGUGCUUAGAUGGUUGAUUUAAGUAUUCAGAUGGUUGGAUUAAUAUCUGCGAACUCAGUAUUUAUGGUAAUGUUUUUCUAAUGAAUGCACUCUUGAUGUUUGACAAAAUUACUCAUCCAAAUGCUUUUUCUUUGAUAAGUAAAAUUGUUUAAGUGAAUUGUUCAUCUAAAUAAGUGAAUUGUUUAAGUGAUAUCAUUUUUCUAUUGGCAGAAGCAUAGUCCUAGUGAGAAUAUAAGCCCUCUGCCUCAAUUAUAAGGUUGGUUAUGUUAUUGAGUCUACUGUAAUUGUGAUUAUCUGUUUUAGGGUUGCUAGUGGUUUGCUUUAGAUGAUUCCUUAGUGUCUUGUUCAUAUUUUAUUUAUGGGUUUGGUCCAAACUUGCAAUUUCAUUAUGGUUUGUGUAACUGAUUUUGUAAAAUAAGCUGCAAUGUACUUGACAGUGCGUAUCUUUGUCAGUUUUAGCCUAGCUUCCAUGUAUAGAAUUGUUGUAGAGGCUCUUGACAUGCUCAGCACUAUUGCUACUGGAUUUGCCAUUGAUGCAUAUGGUCCCAUCAGUGACAAUGCUGGAGGUAUUGCUGAGAUGGAUGGCAUGAGCCACAGGAUCUGGGAGAGGACUGAUGCCCUAGAUGCUGCUGGAAACACCACUGCUGCUAUUGGAAAGCUAUGACCAUGAAGAGUGUGGGAAGUGCAGCUCUUAAGAGAGUGGAAAAAUUUCAGAAGCAAUUUAACACCAUUCCUGUUCUUAUGGAAGGUACCGCAAAGCCUAACUACGCCAACUGUGUCGAGAUCUCGACAGAUGAAUCCAUCAAAGAAAUGAUCCCACUAGGUGCCUUGGUCAUGCUCACUCCCCUAAUUGUUGGAACGUUUUUUUUUCGCGUUGAGACCCUCUCUUGUGUCCUUGCUGGUUCCCUCGUUUCUAGUGUACAGGUAACAUAUUACCUGGCUACUUUUUGGCCAAACAGUGGAGUGUCCCCUUCUAGUUAGAGUUUCCUUCUUAAUAAAUUAUUUCUUAAUCUUUCCACACUCCAUGGAUUGAUGAAAAUUACUAGACCCGGCCCCUUGCUUUGUCUACAUGAAAAGUGGGGGUGGUUAGCAACAGCGCACUUAUGACUGCUGCUAGGUUUUUCCUGUGCGUUUGAAAUUUCAGAAAAGUACCGUGUCUUUGAUAGAGUUGGUCAUGCAGUAAAUGUUUCAACAUUUUUAAAUGUUCCUCUCCUUUGGAGGCAGGCGAUAUCAUGUCGUUGUUUCAGUACAAGAUUGGCAUUUAUACUCUGGUAAGUGAUGUUCCUGUUAACGUUGAGGUGUAACUCUAGAUGAUUUAUUCACGAUACAAUGGUGCGGCAUCUAAUGUGGGAUCAUGUGGACAUGACUCGCUAAGAUGUGUAUCUUAAAUUCUUAAUUGUCUUAUUUGAUGUGUAUAUGAAUUGUCCUUCUAUUUUUUUCGAAGUUGUGAGAACGAAUGAAUCGACUAUGGUCAUUUUACACAUCAAGAUAGUAACUUCAUAAAAUGUAAUUUAUAUACAGGAAAGUUGUUUUGAAACUGUAAGAUAUUGACUUACAGUGUAUUUCGUUCCUACAGUUGUCUAAAAGAAGAAGUAGAGGUGAUCAUGACAGUUCAACUGGAUCCACUGCUGCUUCUACUAGUACAUCUAUGCGAGUUCAUGGCAGAGGCGGGGCUAGGGGAGGUCGUGGCAGAGCUACACCAAGUACUAGUUCAGUUGAACUAUUAGUGUGUGUAUGGAUCUAAAUGUAGAGCAAGUUCUCUUUUCCUCAAAAGGUGUUCAUAGAAGAUUGUAUACACUGAAGAAAAGGAUAACUCCAAUAUAUCCUUAACGAGUUUCGAAACCCAAACCUAGGCGCUAUAAAUUCUGUCUUGGUUACAGGUUCCUCCUGGCACUCAACCUGGUCAGAAGGUUGUACUAAAGAGAAAAGGUUAGAAGAGUACAUGGAUGUUUUCGAAUUUUAUGCAAAUUUCCAACCUGCAUAUGCUCUUAGUAAUCGCGUGUCUCGCGUAUGGAAAUGGUAUAAAUGCUCUUAGUAAAUUUUCUGCACAUGUAUGGCAAUCUCAUCUCAUAUCUAUUUACUUGUUCAAACUUGGCCUUUCUUUUUUAUGAAUAUAUCUUGAUGGAUUGUGAUGACCAACCAUAUGAAAAA